rnacentral:rRNA from 1 species
UAGCGAAGGGGGCUAGCGUUGCUCGGAAUCACUGGGCGUAAAGCGCACGUAGGCGGCUUUUUAAGGUCAGGGGUGAAAUCCUGGAGCUCAACUCCAGAACUGCCUUUGAUACUGGGAGCUCGAGUCCGGGAGAGGUGAGUGGAACUCCGAGUGUAGAGGUGAAAUUCGUAGAUAUUCGGAAGAACACCAGUGGCGAAGGCGGCUCACUGGCCCGGUACUGACGCUGAGGUGCGAAAGCGUGGGGGAGCAAACAGG